CCUACGGGAGGCAGCAGUGGGGAAUAUUGGACAAUGGGCGAAAGCCUGAUCCAGCCAUGCCGCGUGUGUGAAGAAGGCCUUCGGGUUGUAAAGCACUUUCAGUGGGGAAGAAAGCCUUGGGGCUAAUACCCUCGAGGAAGGACAUCACCCACAGAAGAAGCACCGGCUAACUCCGUGCCAGCAGCCGCGGUAAUACGGAGGGUGCGAGCGUUAAUCGGAAUUACUGGGCGUAAAGCGCGCGUAGGCGGUCUGAUAAGCCGGUUGUGAAAGCCCCGGGCUCAACCUGGGAACGGCAUCCGGAACUGUCAGGCUAGAGUGCAGGAGAGGAGGGUAGAAUUCCCGGUGUAGCGGUGAAAUGCGUAGAGAUCGGGAGGAAUACCAGUGGCGAAGGCGGCCUUCUGGACUGACACUGACGCUGAGGUGCGAAAGCGUGGGUAGCAAACAGGAUUAGAUACCCGAGUAGUC
rnacentral:rRNA from 1 species